GCCCCCAUAGUUUAAUGGAUAGAAUGGAAGAUUGCGGAUCUUCUGAUAGAGGUUCGAAUCCUCUUGGGGGCACCA
rnacentral:tRNA from 1 species